rnacentral:misc_RNA from 1 species
CAUCCUGACUGUCCGGACAGACACCAGUCACCGGAACAGUAGAAUGCAUAGACUGCUUAAUAUAGGGUUUUUACAGAGAGAGAGAGAGCAUGUGAUGAAGUAAACAAGUUUUUUACCAACAUGAAAAAUUUUGAGAGCUCAUUUGGUGGUAUUUGUUAGACUACUUUUAGCAACUCUUCUGAGUGUUUAAUAAUAGAAUAUUUGAAAUCAAAAUAUUUUUACUGGUGCGACUGUUUAGCAUCUUUUGAGGCAUGUGAACAAAUUAUGCAUAUAUAAUGAAUCAGUAUUAUAUGUUGCAUGUUCCCUGAAGAAAAUUCAAUUAUGAUCAAGUUCUGAUCAGGCUUACCAUAAAUUGUAUAGUUUUCUUCUUUUUCUUCUUGUUAAAACUUGUAUUUUAUGUUCUCCAGCUCCAAAUGGAAACACUGCAGAGUCGG